rnacentral:rRNA from 1 species
UGGCUCAGAUUGAACGCUGGCGGCAUGCCUUACACAUGCAAGUCGAACGGCAGCACGGGGGCAACCCUGGUGGCGAGUGGCGAACGGGUGAGUAAUACAUCGGAACAUAUCCAGUAGCGGGGGAUAACCUAUCGAAAGAUUGGCUAAUACCGCAUACGAUCUACGGAUGAAAGCAGGGGACCGCAAGGCCUUGCACUAUUGGAGUGGCCGAUGUCAGAUUAGCUAGUUGGUGGGUAAAAGCCUACCAAGGCGACGAUCUGUAGCUGGUCUGAGAGGACGAUCAGCCACACUGGAACUGAGACACGGUCCAGACUCCUACGGGAGGCAGCAGUGGGAAUUUUGGACAAUGGGCGCAAGCCUGAUCCAGCCAUGCCGCGUGAGUGAAGAAGGCCUUCGGGUUGUAAAGCUCUUUCGGUGAAGACGAAACGGUUAGCGUUAAUAACGCUGACUAAUGACGGUACUCACAGAAGAAGCACCGGCUAACUACGUG